rnacentral:lncRNA from 1 species
CAGCCAUCUUGGACCAUGAGGUGAAUCAUGAUGAAGCAAAAUGACAGAAAGAGCCAAGAUCCUUGUCCUGUGGAAAGCAAUACAGAAGAAAACCUGAUGUCUGAGCUGAAUCCUAAUCAUGAAGAUGUUUUUCCACCAUUCCUGUCUGUGUUUUUCUACCAUUCCUGUCUGUGUUUUUCUACCAAAGUGUGCUCUUGAAGUUCUGCAUUUCCCAGGCCACUGAAAGCUAACUACACUGGAACACUCUCAUUUCUGCAAAGAAAAAUAUCAUAUCCCAGGAUGAAAAGGAGGAGGAAGAGGAAAGGCUAACUUAACAAGAAGCUCUUUGACAUUCUUGAAUUAGACACCCAACGUAGUCCACGCAGUACGGAGGAUGACUUCAGAAGUGCAAUUCUGAUAUGGACUUUGUCUCCCUAAGGCUUUCAGUUCCUCAUAUUUAGGAUAAAACAGAAGUUUAUGUAAAGCCAAGGGAGAGGGUCACCGGGAGAGGGAAGGAGGAACAGCAGAAGGAGAGGUCCACACAUGAAAAUACUUGGAAGCGCCCCAGGGCCUAUCAGAUGCAGGUCUUGGCGGAAAUUACCAAACAUACUUUAGACAGGCUGCUGUGUUGCUGAGUGUGGACUGGCCUCAGGGCCUGCUGAUCAAAGCAAAAGGAAGCAGUGAAAAAAACAUCACCAUGUCUUCUUAGAGUCUAAUCUGGGGGCAAGAGGCCAGCAUGCACAGUUGGUGCUGAUUUUCUUGGGCGGAUAGAGGAAAGGUGUAGGCGUGGCCAACAUUUGAGCAGCAUGUGGUUCCUCUCACACGCCAUGCUGUUUCCGGCCUCCUUGCAUUUUACUCAUGCCAUCCUCCUGGUCACUUCUUUGAGAUAUUAAGUGCAUUCUUUAGGACUCAGACUCAGCUCAAGGGUCAGUGCAUCCAUGAAGCCUUACCUGGAUCCCAGAGGGAGCUCUGUGCUCCUCCUUUGUCUCCUAUAGGACCCAGUACAUGCGUCCAGUAUUAUCCAUACACACUGAAAUGAUCUAGCAUGUGUCUUCCCAUAGGAUUUCAAAUUCUUAGAAUAUAGGAGUGAUGCCUUCUUCCUACUUAUAUUUCCAGUGUUAACAGUGCCUGUCAAUUGACUUGAAGAUAACUAAAAGUCUGGUUGUUAAGGGCUGCUUCCCACCUCCAAAUACUUCCCUGGAAGUCAUUGUAUGGGCACUGACAUUGGUAGGUCUCCACUGGCUUGUAGAUGCUUCUGAUUAUAAGGUAGUCUCAGAUGCCUUCAGAAAGUUCUAAGACUGUAUAAAACAUUUCCUUCACAACCAAUAACUGUGUAUUAUUGUUCGUGUAAUUCCAGAAGUUAUCCUUUUGAUAGAGAGCAAUUACUUUAUUGAUUGAGAGUUAGCUAAUUAUGUAAUAAAGGUAAAGAUUUGCAUAGAGAAGUGUAAGAGACAUGGAGAAGAUUCUUGGUGGGUGGUGAGGGCGGGUACAUUUACACCAGACCAAGACUGAUCUGGCUGUGGCGCUGGAGAUUAAAC